UACAUGGGGUGCAAACGUUGCUCGGAAUUAUUGGGCGUAAAGCGCACGUAGGCGGUUUGUUAAGUCGGAUGUGAAAUCCCUCGGCUCAACUGAGGAAGUGCAUCCGAAACUGGCAGGCUUGAGUACUAAAGAGGGUCGCGGAAUUCCCGGUGUAGAGGUGAAAUUCGUAGAUAUCGGGAGGAACACCGGUGGCGAAGGCGGGUCUCUGGGCCGAUACUGACGCUGAGGAGCGAAAGCGUGGGGAGCGAACAGG
rnacentral:rRNA from 1 species